UUUAACCUGUAUCUUUGUGAAAGACUGAGAAUAGAACGUAGCUUCACCAGCCCAUACCACCCACAAACCAAUGGCUUGGCUGAAAAUGCUAAUAAAUCCAUAAAAAGUACACACAACAACAACAAUGUCACCCUUUCGACUAAUAUUUUGUGCUGACCCAGUGUUUCCAGAAGAAGUCUCAGAGAAUUACAUGAUCCCAGAUAUAAAUAUAUUUGGGGAAGAUUUCUGCAAAAAGUACAGCAUCAAUAUGAAAUGGAGACAUGAUGCUGACAUUGCACUGGCCCUAAGCACAAGAAAAACAACAAAGACAUUAUGCUAAAAGAAAGAAUUCUAAAUAUGGUCAAAUAACAUUUGAUGUUGGGGACUCUGUUCUGUUACUGAAUGCUAGAAAGAGAACAAGAAAAGGAGGAGUGCUGGAACCUAGCUACGACUGUUGAGGGUAAGAGUGAAAUUACAAACCAUCUCAGGGAAAUGGUUAGGAACCAUGUACAGUACCACACACUUAAAACCAUUUAAAGAGUCACUAACAUUAGCUGCUGAAAGUACAUCAGAGGGAAAAAUCGGAACUGAAAUUGCAGUUGGUGACACUGAACCAGAAACACCCACAGAAGAGAUUAGAAAAGUGGAUGGCACUGUAUCUCACGACAGCACAGUAAAAAACAAAGAGGUCACAGCAAUGGAAGAAGAGGAGUAUAUAGGGCAAAACAAUGAUACAAGUUAUGCAGAUGACAAUUUUGAUGACAUGCUUAUGGAAGACAAGCAAUGGAUUCUGAAAGUCAUAUUUGUAAUGACCAGCAAACACACAGAGAGACUGGAGGCCAAAGUGAGAAACAUAAAAUUGUAUGGCUCUUCAUUUCGUGAGAAACAUAAAAUUGUAUGGCUCUUCAUUUCAUUGCCUGAAGCCGAGAAGCUGGAUGAGUGA
rnacentral:lncRNA from 1 species